AACUGAAGAAAACAUGGGGUGGUCUAAUAAUUUUUUCCGUGACUGUAUGUCAAUUCAUCCUUAUACUAAACUUAUCUGCCUGUCACUGAGCUGUACAUCAUUCACUAUAAUCAUAUUUAGUCAACAGAAGUUUGAUUCAGAAUCGUCAGUCGGCAACGCUACAAAAACAUUAAAUAAAUUUAGAUCUGUCAAAGUACGAAUAUUAAAAAAAA